rnacentral:rRNA from 1 species
GAUGAACGCUAGCGAUAGGCUUAACACAUGCAAGUCGAGGGGCAGCAUGGUCUUAGCUUGCUAAGACUGAUGGCGACCGGCGCACGGGUGCGUAACGCGUAUGCAACUUGCCUCACAGAGGGGGAUAACCCGUCGAAAGACGGACUAAUACCGCGUACACUCCAUCUUGGGCAUCCAAGGUAGAGGAAAUGAAAUUCGCUGUGAGAUAGGCAUGCGUCCCAUUAGCUAGUUGGUGAGGUAACGGCUCACCAAGGCGACGAUGGGUAGGGGAACUGAGAGGUUGAACCCCCACACUGGUACUGAGACACGGACCAGACUCCUACGGGAGGCAGCAGUGAGGAAUAUUGGUCAAUGGGCGAGAGCCUGAACCAGCCAAGUCGCGUGAAGGAUGACUGUCUUAUGGAUUGUAAACUUCUUUUAUACGGGAAUAACAAGAGUCACGCGUGACUCCCUGCAUGUACCGUAUGAAUAAGCAUCGGCUAACUCCGUGC